GACGAACGCUGGCGGCGUGCUUAACACAUGCAAGUCGAGCGGUAAGGCCCUUUCGGGGGUACACGAGCGGCGAACGGGUGAGUAACACGUGGGUGACCUGCCCUCAGCUCUGGGAUAAGCCUGGGAAACCGGGUCUAAUACUGGAUAUGACUCCAUGACGCAUGUUGUGGGGUGGAAAGCCUUGUGCGGCUGAGGAUGGGCCCGCGGCCUAUCAGCUUGUUGGUGGGGUGANGGCCUACCAAGGCGACGACGGGUAGCCGGCCUGAGAGGGCGACCGGCCACACUGGGACUGAGACACGGCCCAGACUCCUACGGGAGGCGGCAGUGGGGAAUCUUGCGCAAUGGGCGAAAGCCUGACGCAGCGACGCCGCGUGAGGGAUGACGGCCUCGG
rnacentral:rRNA from 1 species